GUCCCUGUAGCGCAAUGAAUGGUGCGUUGAACUUCUAAUGCAAAGGUCGUGGGUCCAAUUACCACCUGGGAUG